CCCCUCCGCGCCUCUCCGCUCCGGGCCAUGGCGGCCGUGGCUUGGGGACGGUGCCUCCCUCGGGUGUGGCUUCGCAGGUGGUGCCCCGACUUCCCCCUGCGCUCCGAAAGUCAGACAGCCGGCGGCGGGGGGGUGGGCAGUAACCGACCCUUGCUCUGUGUUGCAGGAGGGCCGGGCCUGGCUUGCGGCCGCCACUACCGCGCCGCGCUCUGCGCGGAGCUGAAGCACCCCCUGGCCAUCGAGGAGGUCGCCUCCCGCCCCGUCCGGCCUCACGAGGUCAGAGUGGACGUCCAUUUCUGUGGAGUUAAUUUUGCUGAUAUUUUGGUCUGCCGUGGUCAGUAUCAGGAAAAGCCUCAACUUCCCUUCACACCUGGAAUGGAGUUUUCGGGGACAGUAUUGGAGACAGGCACAGAUGUCAGCACAGUGAAAGAGGGAGAUCGAGUUAUUGGCGUGAGUGGCUUUAAUGGUAUGGCUGAAGAAUGCAUCAUUGAUCACAAGACACUGUGGCAGAUUCCAGAAGGGGUCCCCCUCCGAGAAGCUGCUACCUUGCCUGUAUCUUAUGUCACUGCUAUUUUGGCCUUGGAGCAUCGGGCCUGUACUCGGCCUGGAGAAACUGUUUUAGUGACAGCAGCAGCUGGAGCCACAGGCCUUGCAGUGAUAGAUGUGGCAACAAAUGUUCUUCAGGCUAAGGUAAUAGCUGCAGCCGGAAGUGACGAGAAGUGCAGGCUGGCGAUGCGGAAGGGUGCACAGUCCAUCGUGAACUAUAGUCAGGGCAGCCUGAAGGAGGCAGUGAGGAAGCUGGUGGGCAGUGAUGGGGUGAACGUGGUCAUCGACGCUGUGGGAGGAGAUGUCUUCCUGGAGGCUCUCCGCAGCCUGGCCUGGGAGGGCAGGAUUGUGGUGGUGGGUUUUGCUGGAGGAACCAUUGCUUCUGUGCCGGCCAACCUUCUGCUCCUGAAGAAUGUCUCUGCUAUGGGUCUGUACUGGGGCCGAUACAAAGAGCAGAACUUUCCCAUCUUCUCCAGAAUCCUGUCCUCUGCUCUUCAGUACUGCCAGCAAGGGCGCAUCCAGCCACACAUCGGAGCGGUUUUUAAGCUGGAGGAGUCAAGAGGGUAGCAUUUGGUGGUAAAAAGAGAACCUGACUGGCCACGGGAAAACUGGUCGGAUUCUAUUUCCACCUGUGCCUUCAGUUGCUCCUUCGUGGAAGUCUCCUCUGCCCUCCGACCAUCAGUCUCCACGCCUCUGCAGCAGGUUAUGUACUUCAGGGGCGGCAGUGUGCAGGGGUGGGCAGGUGACCCGAGCUGCCUGGCCUCUGGGACCCCAUCUCUGCUGGGGUCUGAGUAGCUGCACAUUUUUACCUUUUUGUUCAUCUGUUUCUUGUGUUAAAAGGUUUUGUGGCUUAAAAAACUUGAAAACCACCAGUUUCCAGAAUUGCUGAGUCCCCUUCCGUCUUGUGACUUUUAUCAUGUGCCUGUGAACCGAGGUUUGCUUUACCUAAAGCUCAUGUAUACCUGUCGAUAGAAGAUGAGGACAGUUAGGACAGAUGAAGAAAUCAAGACUUGUAGGAGCUAAGAAACCUGCUCGAUAUUAUAUAACUAUGAACUCCAUGUGGGCAGGGGCCAUGCAUCUCUUUGUCUCCAGAUUCUGGAAGCCAGUAAAAGAGGGAUCGCUAUCUCGAAUCGCACUUGCUUUCGGAGUAUUUCCUAUCUUUGGGCUGAGACAGAUCUCUGGGAACAGGCAGCUUCAAACUGACGGUCAAUGAUGCCUUCCUUCAUGUGAUACAGCGCAAAUCCACGGGCAAGGUGCUUAUCUCCCUGAAAUAAACCCUCACCUCAGCAGCAAAUUCAGCAUGUCUAAAUCUAAGCUCCUCAUCUUUCCAAAAAACCUCCUUUACCUCCAGUGUUUCUAAAGGUGUGACCGCUUUCCUGAUUAAUCCAGGUUCAGAAUCUUUUAGAGGCAUCUUCGAUUCUGUUUUCUUAUUUCUAGUAAAUAGUGUGGCACAUACUGUAUAGUCCUAGUUUGUCCGUAUUGGAGAGGGAAAGGAGGCUGUUAGUAAUUACACCAGGCAAGUAAGGUGUCCCAGGCAAAGCAGGAUGUAUGGCUGUUCCGUUCACAAUGCCUCAGUGGCCGGGUUCUGUCAUCCCCACCUCUCAAGAUAUCUCUCACCUCCGUAUCCUCUUUUCCAUUCCAACCAAUUAUGUUUCAUCUGCUAAUUCCAGUAACUUUCUGACUGGCUUUCCAACCUUUAAACGUCCCCCACCCCUCCGUCCUUGUUAUACAUUGUUGCCAUGGUGACCUUCCUAAAGUACAGCUGUGACUGUGUCUCUUCUCAGAAAACCUGCAAUGGCUCCCCUUGGUCUACAUGGUGGAGUCCAGACUCCUUAAGCUAGCAUUUCUUUGUGUCCAUGACCUUGCCACGCUCUGCAGCCUCAAGUUACACAACGCCUCCGGUCCCUCCAUGUGUACUUAGAUUUCCUGCCAACCCCCCUUUUCUCUGCUCAAGCAGUUUCCUCUGCUCCCUUGUCCCUGUCAAACACGAACCUUUCUAACUUCCAAGACUGACCUCUGCCAUGAGCCUGCCCCCUCAGGAGGCUGGUCAUUUCUUCCCUUCCACCUUCCUGUAGCUUUUUCCCUGGGAUUUGUCACAUUCUGCCUGGCACCAGAGGGAGCAGCAUGUCUAGUAGAAUGAACACAGGAUUCUGAAUCUAAGAUGUGGGUUCACAUCCUGGUCUCACCACUUCGGAGGUGGUUACUUAAGGUCUGUGUGCCUCCAUUUUCUCACUGUAAAGUGGAUAUUACAAUAUCUACCUCACAACGUUGUCGUGGGCAACACAUGCAGCAAUUGGGCAAAUUAUCCGGUGCGUGGUGAGCUAUUAGCAAAUGCUCGUUACUUUUACUUCUUUCUUUCCUCCUUUCCCAAGGUAGCAUAAGUUUUUUGAAAGCGGGUACCAUGUCUGAUUCACCUUUGUACCUCCCACAAUUCCUAUCACAAUGAGUAGUAAAUACGCCAUACAUGGAAUUGAUUUUAAA